CCAAUAUAGAAAAGGAGCAUUGUUAUAUUAUAAUUCAAAAUGGAGGACUGCAAAACCACCACUAUUUUGUUGAAGUUUGGUAAUACAGCUGAUCUAGAUAAACCCGAAAAUUACGUGAAGCGCUGGUUUAGCACAAGUGCUCAGCGAGUGGUGUAAAUGCGUUUCAUAAAAAUAGAUAUUGCUAAAAUGUGAUAUAUAUACAUAUAUAUUAUUAGUACUUGUUUUACGCAGCAAUUUAUAUAAUGUGCAAUUUAACUAUAUAAAAUAGAUAUAUAAGCAAGCAUAAUCUA
rnacentral:lncRNA from 13 species